UGGGUGAAGGACAGGGCCGUGCCGAGCCAAGCCAGCCCGCCUCCUGCUCCCAGCUCCGCAUCCAAGAUGCAGACCAAAUGACGUGCUGCUCCUUCUUCAGCUGAGUGCUCCUGAGUGUGACCCAUUGAAACAGAAGGAGAACCGCGCAGCAGAAAGACGUCAGCAGGCUCUCCCCAAUGUCCCCAGCCCCCGGUGAGACCCACAGCACCCGUGGACACUGAAGGUUCGUUAGUCCUGCAGUAAAGGAACCUUGACAGUCAUUUAAGAACGUCUGAAAAGUGCA